rnacentral:rRNA from 1 species
AUUGAACGCUGGCGGCAUGCCUUACACAUGCAAGUCGAACGGUAACAGGUCUUCGGAUGCUGACGAGUGGCGAACGGGUGAGUAAUACAUCGGAACGUGCCCGAUCGUGGGGGAUAACGAAGCGAAAGCUUUGCUAAUACCGCAUACGAUCUACGGAUGAAAGCAGGGGACCGCAAGGCCUUGCGCGAACGGAGCGGCCGAUGGCAGAUUAGGUAGUUGGUGGGAUAAAAGCUUACCAAGCCGACGAUCUGUAGCUGGUCUGAGAGGACGACCAGCCACACUGGGACUGAGACACGGCCCAGACUCCUACGGGAGGCAGCAGUGGGGAAUUUUGGACAAUGGGCGAAAGCCUGAUCCAGUCAUGCCGCGUGAAGGAUGAAGGCCUUCGGGUUGUAAACUGCUUUUGUACGGAACGAAAAGACUCUGGUUAAUACCUGGGGUCCAUGACGGUACCGUAAGAAUAAGCACCGGCUAACUACGUG